UCUCGAUAGAGUAAAAGUUGAAUCAAAUUUGUGUGUAUUUUGAACGUUUGCCUACGUUUGCCGCUAGGGGUGCUGUUCCAACUGCAUACAAAUUUGAGUAACUUUUACGCUAUCGA
rnacentral:pre_miRNA from 9 species